rnacentral:rRNA from 1 species
CAGUAGCCGCGGGAAAACGUAGGGUGCAAGCGUUAAUCAGAAUUACUGGGCGUAAAGCGUGCGUAGGCGGUGAGUUAAGUCUGCUGUGAAAUCCCCGGGCUCAACCUGGGAAUGGCAGUGGAUACUGGCUCGCUAGAGUGUGUCAGAGGAUGGUGGAAUUCCCGGUGUAGCGGUGAAAUGCGUAGAGAUCGGGAGGAACAUCAGUGGCGAAGGCGGCCAUCUGGGACAACACUGACGCUGAGGCACGAAAGCGUGGGGAGCAAACAGGAUUAGAUACCCGCGUAGUCCCUGUCUCUUAUAC